rnacentral:rRNA from 1 species
AGUGAACGCUGGCGGCGUGCUUAACACAUGCAAGUCGAACGAGAACGGAUUAUAGCUUGCUAUAAUUGUCAGCUAAGUGGCGCACGGGUGAGUAAUGUAUAGGUAAUAUGCCUCUUACUAAGGGAUAACAAAUGGAAACGUUUGCUAAUACCUUAUACUCCUUAUUAACAGAAGUUAAUAAGGGAAAGAUUUAUUGGUAAGGGAUUAGCCUGUAUUGUAUCAGUUAGUUGGUGGGGUAAUGGCUUACCAAGACUAUGACACAUAACUGGUUUGAGAGGAUGAUCAGUUACACUUGAACUGAGACACGGUCCAGACUCCUACGGGAGGCAGCAGUGGGGAAUAUUGCACAAUGGACGAAAGUCUGAUGCAGCAACGCCGCGUGGAGGAUGACACAUUUCGGUGCGUAAACUCCUUUUAUAUGAGAAGAUAAUGACGGUAUUAUAUGAAUAAGCACCGGCUAACUCCGUGCCAGCCGCCGCCGUAA